rnacentral:rRNA from 1 species
CCUACGGGAGGCAGCAGUGAGGAAUAUUGGUCAAUGGUCGGGAGACUGAACCAGCCAAGCCGCGUGAGGGAGGAAGGUACAGAGUAUCGUAAACCUCUUUUGUCAGGGAACAAAGGCGGGGACGUGUCCCCGGAUGAGUGUACCUGAAGAAAAAGCAUCGGCUAACUCCGUGCCAGCAGCCGCGGUAAUAAGGAGGAUGCGAGCGUUAUCCGGAUUUAUUGGUUUUAAAGGGUGCGCAGGGGGAAGAGCAAGUCAGCGGUAAAAUUGAGAGGCUCAACCUCUUCCCGCCGUUGAAACUGCGUUUCUUGAGUGGGCGAGAAGUACGCGGAAUGCGUGGUGUAGCGGUGAAAUGCAUAGAUAUCACGCAGAACUCCGAUUGCGAAGGCAGCGUACCGGCGCCCAACUGACGCUCAUGCACGAAAGCGUGGGUAUCGAACAGGAUUAGAUACCCCGGUAGUC